CCUACGGGUGGCUGCAGUGAGGAAUAUUGGUCAAUGGGCGCGAGCCUGAACCAGCCAAGUAGCGUGAAGGAUGACUGCCCUACGGGUUGUAAACUUUUUUUAUAAAGGAAUAAAGUGAGGAACGUGAGCCUUUACGUAUGUACUUUAUGAAUAAGGAUCGGCUAACUCCGUGCCAGCAGCCGCGGUAAUACGGAGGGUCCGAGCGUAACCCGGAUUUAUUGGGUUUAAAGGGAGCGUAGGUGGGUUGUUAAGUCAGUUGUGAAAGUUUGCGGCUCAACCGUAAAAUUGCAAUGGAUACUGGCAGCCUUGAGUGCAGUUGAGGUAGGCGGAAUUCGUGGUGUAGCGGUGAAAUGCGUAGAUAUCACGAAGAACACCGAUUGCGAAGGCAGCUUACUAAACUGCCACUGACGUUGAUGCUCGAAAGUGUGGGUAGCAAACAGGAUUAGAUACCCGAGUAGUC
rnacentral:rRNA from 1 species